rnacentral:piRNA from 1 species
UUACAGCAGAGUGUCUUGGUGAACCAGAU